rnacentral:rRNA from 1 species
GAUGAACGCUGGCGGCGUGCCUAAUACAUGCAAGUCGAGCGAACGGACGAGAAGCUUGCUUCUCUGAUGUUAGCGGCGGACGGGUGAGUAACACGUGGAUAACCUACCUAUAAGACUGGGAUAACUUCGGGAAACCGGAGCUAAUACCGGAUAAUAUUUUGAACCGCAUGGUUCAAAAGUGAAAGACGGUCUUGCUGUCACUUAUAGAUGGAUCCGCGCUGCAUUAGCCAGUUGGUAAGGUAACGGCUUACCAAGGCAACGAUGCAUAGCCGACCUGAGAGGGUGAUCGGCCACACUGGAACUGAGACACGGUCCAGACUCCUACGGGAGGCAGCAGUAGGGAAUCUUCCGCAAUGGGCGAAAGCCUGACGGAGCAACGCCGCGUGAGUGAUGAAGGUCUUCGGAUCGUAAAACUCUGUUAUUAGGGAAGAACAUAUGUGUAAGUAACUGUGCACAUCUUGACGGUACCUAAUCAGAAAGCCACGGCUAACUACG